UACGAAGGUGGCAAGCGUUACUCGGAAUUACUAGGCGUAAAGGGCAGGUAGGUGGUCUGAUAAGUCUGUUGUGUAAGCUCCCGGCUUAACUGGGAGAGGUCAACGGAUACUGUCAGGCUUGAGUAUGGGAGAGGUUACUGGAAUUCCCGGUGUAGCGGUGAAAUGCGCAGAUAUCGGGAGGAACACCAAUGGCGAAAGCAGGUAACUGGACCAUUACUGACACUCAGCUGCGAAAGCUAGGGGAGCAAACAGG
rnacentral:rRNA from 1 species